rnacentral:rRNA from 1 species
AUUGAACGCUGGCGGCAUGCUUUACACAUGCAAGUCGAACGGUAACAGGUUAAGCUGACGAGUGGCGAACGGGUGAGUAAUGCAUCGGAACGUGCCCGAUCGUGGGGGAUAACACUUCGAAAGAAGUGCUAAUACCGCAUACGAUCUGAGGAUGAAAGCGGGGGACCGUAAGGCCUCGCGCGAUCGGAGCGGCCGAUGUCAGAUUAGGUAGUUGGUGGAGUAAAGGCUCACCAAGCCGACGAUCUGUAGCUGGUCUGAGAGGACGACCAGCCACACUGGGACUGAGACACGGCCCAGACUCCUACGGGAGGCAGCAGUGGGGAAUUUUGGACAAUGGGCGCAAGCCUGAUCCAGCAAUGCCGCGUGCAGGAAGAAGGCCUUCGGGUUGUAAACUGCUUUUGUACGGAGCGAAAAGGCUCUCUCUAAUACAGGGGGCUCAUGACGGUACCGUAAGAAUAAGCACCGGCUAACUACGUGCCAGCCGCCGCCGUAACAC